AGCAGCCGCGGUAAUUCCAGCUCCAAUAGCGUAUAUUAAAGUUGUUGCAGUUAAAAAGCUCGUAGUUGAAUUUCGGGGUCAGUAGAUUGGUCGUGCCACUGGUAUGUACUGGUCUUACUGGCUCCUCCUUCCUGAUGAACCGUAAUGCCAUUAAUUUGGUGUUGCGGGGAGACUGGACUGUUACUUUGAAAAAAAUUAGAGUGUUUAAAGCAGGCUAACGCUUGAAUACAUUAGCAUGGAAUAAUGAAAUAGGACGUUCGAUCUUAUUUUGUUGGUUUCUAGGAUUGACGUAAUGAUUAAUAGGGAUAGUUGGGGGCAUUAGUAUUCAAUUGUCAGAGGUGAAAUUCUUGGAUUUAUUGAAGACUAACUACUGCGAAAGCAUUUGCCAAGGAUGUUUUCAUUAAUCAAGAACGAAAGUUAGGGGAUCGAAGACGAUCAGAUACCGUCGUAGUCUUAACCAUAAAACUAUGCCGACUAGGGAUCGGGAUGAUGUUAAUUUUUUAAUGACUCAUUCGGCGCC
rnacentral:rRNA from 1 species